rnacentral:rRNA from 1 species
AUUGAACGCUGGCGGCAGGCCUAACACAUGCAAGUCGAACGGCAGCACGGGAGCUUGCUCCUGGUGGCGAGUGGCGGACGGGUGAGUAACGUAUGGGGAUCUGCCUGAUGGAGGGGGAUAACAACUGGAAACGGUUGCUAAUACCGCGUAAUGUCGCAAGACCAAAGAGGGGGACCUUCGGGCCUCUUGCCAUCAGAUGAACCCAUAUGGGAUUAGCUAGUAGGUGAGGUAAUGGCUCACCUAGGCGACGAUCCCUAGCUGGUCUGAGAGGAUGACCAGCCAAACUGGAACUGAGAGACGGUCCAGACUCCUACGGGAGGCAGCAGUGGGGAAUAUUGCACAAUGGGGGAAACCCUGAUGCAGCCAUGCCGCGUGUGUGAAGAAGGCCUUAGGGUUGUAAAGCACUUUCAGUCGGGAGGAAGGUAAUAAAGAUAAUACCUUUAUUAAUUGACGUUACUGACAGAAGAAGCACCGGCUAACUCCGUGCCAGCCGCCGCGGUAA